rnacentral:lncRNA from 1 species
AGUUGAUGACAAAUGGAACGAGUCUGUCAAAAUGCAUGACCUUGUCCGUGAUGUAGCCAUAUCACUUGCCUCCAGAAAUAAGCAGUGGCACACAUUACAAAGUCAAGCUAGAAUAAAUGAGUGGCAAUAUGAUGAUGGGUACAAAAAUUGCACUGCAAUUUCACUUCUGUGUGAAGACAUCAAAAAACUUAAAGAUCAUUUAAAGUGUCCGAAGCUUGAACUCUUACAGCUUUGGCAUGAUAGUCAGUUAGAAAGCCUUCCAAACAACGUGUUAGAAGGGAUG